rnacentral:rRNA from 1 species
UACGUAGGGGGCGAGCGUUGUCCGGAAUUACUGGGCGUAAAGCGCGCGUAGGCGGUUUUACAAGUCAGAUGUAAAAGGCACCGGCUCAACCGGUGUUUGGCAUUUGAUACUGUAUUUCUUGAGGGUGGUAGAGGGAACCGGAACUUCCAGUGUAGCGGUGAAAUGCGUAGAUAUUGGAAGGAACACCAGUGGCGAAAGCGGGUUCCUGGGCCACUCCUGACGCUGAAGUGCGAAAGCUAGGGGAGCAAACGGG